UGGCUCAGUUGGUAGAGCAUGGCACUUGCAACGCCUGGGUUAUGGGUUCGAUUCCCAU
rnacentral:tRNA from 1 species